rnacentral:rRNA from 1 species
CAGCCGCCACGGGAAUACGGAGGGAGCUAGCGUUGUUCGGAAUUACUGGGCGUAAAGCGCACGUAGGCGGCUUUGUAAGUCAGAGGUGAAAGCCUGGAGCUCAACUCCAGAACUGCCUUUGAGACUGCAUCGCUUGAAUCCAGGAGAGGUGAGUGGAAUUCCGAGUGUAGAGGUGAAAUUCGUAGAUAUUCGGAAGAACACCAGUGGCGAAGGCGGCUCACUGGACUGGUAUUGACGCUGAGGUGCGAAAGCGUGGGGAGCAAACAGGAUUAGAUACCCCCGUAGUCCCUGUCUCUUAUAC